UGGGGUAUAUUGGACAAUGGGCGAAAGCCUGAUCCAGCCAUGCCGCGUGUGUGAAGAAGGUCUUCGGAUUGUAAAGCACCUUAAGUUGGGUGGAAGGUCAGUAAGCGAAUACCUUGCUGUUUUGACGUUACCGACAGAAUAAGCACCGGCUAACUCUGUGCCGGCAGCCGCGGUAAUACAGAGGGUGAAAGCGUUAAUCGGAAUUACUGGGCGUAAAGCGCGCGUAGGUGGUUCGUUAAGUUGAAUGUGAAAGCCCCGGGCUCAACCGGGGAACUGCAUCCAAAACUGGCGAGCUAGAGUAGGGCAGAGGGUGGUGGAAUUUCCUGUGUAGCGGUGAAAUGCGUAGAUAUAGGCAGGAACACCAGUGGCGAAGGCGACCACCUGGGCUCAUACUGACACUGAGGUGCGAAAGCGUGGGGAGCAAACAGG
rnacentral:rRNA from 1 species